rnacentral:rRNA from 1 species
CGGAGGGUGCGAGCGUUGUCCGGAAUCAUUGGGCGUAAAGGGCGCGUAGGUGGCCCGGUCAGUCCGUGGUGAAAGCGCGGGGCUCAACCCUGCGUCGGCCAUGGAUACUGCCGCGGCUGGAGCACUGUAGAGGCAGGCGGAAUUCCGGGUGUAGCGGUGGAAUGCGUAGAGAUCCGGAAGAACACCGGUGGCGAAGGCGGCCUGCUGGGCAGUUGCUGACACUGAGGCGCGACAGCGUGGGGAGCAAACAGGAUUAGAUACCCUGGUAGUCCACGCCGUAAACGAUGGGCACUAGGCGCUUGGGGGAGCGACCCCCCGAGGGCCGGCGCUAACGCAUUAAGUGCCCCGCCUGGGGAGUACGGCCGCAAGGCUG